rnacentral:rRNA from 1 species
UACGAAGGGGGCUAGCGUUGCUCGGAAUUACUGGGCGUAAAGGGCGCGUAGGCGGCACUGUUAGUCAGGCGUGAAAGUCCUGGGCUCAACCUCGGAACUGCCUUUGAUACUGGGGAUCUCGAGUCCGGGAGAGGUGAGUGGAACUGCGAGUGUAGAGGUGAAAUUCGUAGAUAUUCGCAAGAACACCAGUGGCGAAGGCGGCUCACUGGCCCGGAACUGACGCUGAGGUGCGAAAGCGUGGGGAGCAAACAGG